rnacentral:lncRNA from 1 species
CCGGCCGGUGAGACAGGCGAAGGAGCCUACUACGGCGUGGACAUCAACUCCGGUGGAAUUGCAGACUCCUUUGCGAACUUCGUGUGGGAGCCUGCUGUGGUGAAGGUACCUACCUACCUCAAGAGCAAGAGCGUCGUCGAUGCGAUCUCCUUCGGCGCGUUUCCUGGGCCUCGUGUGGUGUUCUUUGCUUGCCGACUCUGUGCGUUCUUGCUCCUGCAGAUUAACGCCAUAAAUGCCGCAACUGAGGCUGCUUGCCUCAUUCUCAGCGUGGACGAGACAAUCAAAAACCCCAAGGUGAAAAGUCAACUUCUUUUUUCCUUUUACUGGACAAGCGCACUCGCUCAAUCCUUGUCCGUGGGAUGGGAGUUCUUUUUUCUUAAAGCCAGAAUUAUAAUACGCCCACAUGUCUAUCUAUCUAUCUAUCUAUCUAUCUAUCUAUCUAUCUAUCUACAUGUAUAUACAUAUAGAUAGAUAGAUAGAUAUAUAGAUUGACAGAUAUGCGUGUGUAUUAUAAAGUUGGGAUUGUUUUGACAGAAAAAAAAGAGGAUAUAAUCAUGCAUUGUACGGGCAUUUUCUGACCGUGCUCUUGAAUGAGACCUGGCAGUCCGAGAGCGCCCAGGGGGAGGCGGCGGCCAGUGCGAUGGCGGGCCGAGGGCGCGGCGGAGGUGGCUUCCGCGGCCGCGGAGGGCGGGGCAUGAGGCGGCGGUGAUUUUGCCGGCGGGUAGAUGCGGGUUCUCUGCCGUUGGGCUCCUGUGUUGGCUUUUGACUUUUAUGAGAGUGCUGGUGGGCGCUGGAGAACAAAGUGGACCAGUUCGAUCUGCGGGGAGGGGCGGUGGUGUGCCCUUCGCUGUCACUGGAAAUUUUGCAGUUAUCC